AGUGAACGCUGGCGGUAGGCCUAACACAUGCAAGUCGAACGGCAGCACAGUAAGAGCUUGCUCUUACGGGUGGCGAGUGGCGGACGGGUGAGGAAUACAUCGGAAUCUACUUUUUCGUGGGGGAUAACGUAGGGAAACUUACGCUAAUACCGCAUACGACCUACGGGUGAAAGCAGGGGAUCUUCGGACCUUGCGCGAUUGAAUGAGCCGAUGUCGGAUUAGCUAGUUGGCGGGGUAAAGGCCCACCAAGGCGACGAUCCGUAUCUGGUCUGAGAGGAUGAGCCGCCACACUGGAACUGAGACACGGUCCGGACUCCUGCGGGAGGCAGCAGUGGGGAAUAUUGGACAAUGGGCGCAAGCCUGAUCCAGCCAUACCGCGUGAGUGAAGAAGGCCUUCGGGUUGUAAAGCCCUUUUGUUUGGAAAGAAAAGCAGCAGGUUAAUACCCCGUUGUUCUGACGGUACCCAAAGAAUAAGCACCGGCUAACUUCGUG
rnacentral:rRNA from 1 species